rnacentral:rRNA from 1 species
GCAGCCGCGGUAAUACGAAGGGGGCAAGCGUUAUCCGGAUUUACUGGGUGUAAAGGGAGCGUAGACGGCAGCACAAGUCUGGAGUGAAAUGCCGGGGCUUAACCCCGGAACUGCUUUGGAAACUGCAUAUCUAGAGUGUCGGAGAGGCAAGUGGAAUUCCUGGUGUAGCGGUGAAAUGCGUAGAUAUCAGGAGGAACACCAGUGGCGAAGGCGGCUUGCUGGACGAUGACUGACGUUGAGGCUCGAAAGCGUGGGGAGCAAACAG